rnacentral:lncRNA from 1 species
AUGUCAAAAUCUGUGUUGGAAAUGGUUGGAUUUCUAAAGAGAAUGAAAAGCAUGGCGAGCUGCGGAGUGCUUGGGAAAGGGCAGAGGAUCUCACUCAGACCUGUGACACCUGCAGCUGCCAAACGAAGCAUGUCGGUGUUACACCUCAGCUCAGGCCCCUGCAAGGGCGGUUUCCUUACAGCCCUGUUUCUAGGUAACCAAAUCCCUGUCACACAUAGCGUUCCACAUUGCCAGAGGACACUGACACGAGCAGCGCAGGGACGGCUGCCAUCAAUAGGGAGCAAACAGGAGCCCCGGCUGAUUUCAAUUACACUGGCAGCAAUUCAGAGGAACCCCAAUGAAUCCAGGCUGGAAGUGGAAGUGGCAUUUGGGCAUUUUAAUACAGACAUCUAUGAAAUGAAUUCUAGCUUCUGGGAGUUGAUGAGCAAGACACAAAUCUUCAAUUAG